rnacentral:rRNA from 1 species
GAAUAGACUACCCGGGUAGUCCACGCCGUAAACGAUGAGUGCUAAGUGUUAGGGGGUUUCCGCCCCUUAGUGCUGCAGCUAACGCAUUAAGCACUCCGCCUGGGGAGUACGGUCGCAAGACUGAAACUCAAAGGAAUUGACGGGGGGCCCGCACAAGCGGUGGAGCAUGUGGUUUAAUUCGAAGCAACGCGAAGAACCUUACCAGGUCUUGACAUCCCAUUGACCGCUAUGGAGACAUAGCUUUCCCUUCGGGGACAGUGGUGACAGGUGGUGCAUGGUUGUCGUCAGCUCGUGUCGUGAGAUGUUGGGUUAAGUCCCGCAACGAGCGCAACCCUUGUUCUUAGUUACCAUCAUUUAGUUGGGCACUCUAAGGAGACUGCCGGUGACAAACCGGAGGAAGGCGGGGAUGACGUCAAAUCAUCAUGCCCCUUAUGACCUGGGCUACACACGUGCUACAAUGGACGGUACAAACGGUUGCCAACCCGCGAGGGGGAGCUAAUCCGAUAAAACCGUUCUCAGUUCGGAUUGUAGGCUGCAACUCGCCUAC